CGUAGCCACGGUAAUACGAAGGGUGCAAGCGUUACUCGGAAUUACUGGGCGUAAAGCGUGCGUAGGUGGUGGUUUAAGUCCGUUGUGAAAGCCCUGGGCUCAACCUGGGAAUUGCAGUGGAUACUGGGUCACUAGAGUGUGGUAGAGGAUAGUGGAAUUUCCGGUGUAGCAGUGAAAUGCGUAGAGAUCGGAAGGAACAUCUGUGGCGAAGGCGACUAUCUGGGCCAACACUGACACUGAGGCACGAAAGCGUGGGGAGCAAACAGGAUUAGAUACCCGAGUAGUCCCUGUCUCUUAUACA
rnacentral:rRNA from 1 species